rfam:Chlorocebus sabaeus isolate 1994-021 chromosome 19, whole genome shotgun sequence.
CUGACUGCACUUUCAGGGAUCAUUUCUAUAGUUCAUUACUAGAGAAGUUUCUCUGAAGGUGUAGAGCACCAAAAAAAAAAAACAAAAAAACAAAUU